UUUCUUUCUUUUUCUUCUUUUUCAUUUUUUUUCUAACACUCCUCUCCACUACCUCACACUCUCCCACCAGUAGCUCCAUGCCACCAUCUCCACCAUCAUUUUUCCAACAAUGUCACCAGAAAAUCCUUAGGAACCUCUAAGCAACUUCAUCUUUUAUUUGAGCUAUACAUUGGGUUUGGAGCUUACUUCUUUCGUGAUGAUUAGAGUGCUAUGUUAAAUUCUGAGACUUUUGCUGUAAAUGGUUGGUGACUCGAUCUUGCUAUGUUCAACGAGACCUUUAUUAAUUUUAUUGGAGGUGGGUCGCUUGAGGUUUGUUAGCCUUUGGCAUGGUAGGCCUAGACUCGAUGUUAAGGUCCUUAUUCUUGAUAAGAUUGUGACUUUGUGUAAUUUAAUUAGAGUUUUGUAAUAUAUUCGUGUAUUAUGUGGAGGCACAUGAUUUUUA